GUCUUGGUAUGUUGGCCAGGCUGGUCUCAAAUUCCUGGGCUCAAGUGAUCCUCCCGCCUCAGCCUCCCGGAUUGCUGAGACUGCAGGCCUCUUUCGGGUGGUCAUUCUGGCUGGCUGCAGGUCACCCUUCCUGCCAACAGUGUGAAGGACCCCAACCCUGACAGAGACCAGACCCUGGGAUCUGGAAUGUGUAUCCUGAGUGCAUUCUGCCACUGCCUCUUAGCCACCUUCCCUGAUGCUGUCUGGGAUGCAGGCAUUGCAUGCAGUUCACGUCGGAAGAUUCCACACUGCAAUCCAGAGACCAAAAGGAGCCCAUUGCGAUCUGGCUCUGGGGGACCCUGGGAUGAUAUCCCUACCCCCAGGGACAGGAACCAACCCCCGGGGACCUGGAGAGACUCUGUGCCCUGCAGGACCGAUGGGGGACUCCUCCCUGUAUGUACGUGUGCGUGGCCCUGCCUUGUUCUUGCCCCGGACCUGGCCUGGUGAAGGAGGCACGAGGAAGAUUGCAGUCAGGGACGCUCAGCCUGGGAGCUGACCCUCAGGUGAGGCCCUAAGGAAGUUCCCAGACCUCCCUGAACCUCAGUAUGCUCAUCUGUCCAGCAGCAACCCUGGGCCUUAAGUGAGAACAUCUAUGCGGAAGAGGCAGGUGCCAAUCAAGCCCUCUGUAAAGUUACCUCCCCUUUUCCCUUCUUCUCCUCUCACAGAGCUGAAGAAUAUUUUGCAAAGUUCAUUGUAAACAUUAAAAUAAUCUUGGGUGUUUAUCAUUCGUUAAACCUGUUGGGCUGACUUUAGGUCUACCGCUCUCAAAAAACCAAGAAUAAAUGGCACAGGGAGCU
rnacentral:lncRNA from 1 species